UUUUUUUCUCCAAAAAAAUGUCUUUUAAUUCUCAAAAUAGCACAAAAACGACAGUUACGGGGGGGGGAGGGGCCCCCAAUACACUAUAAUACACUGGGGGGGGGGCUGGGCUGCCCCAUAGCGCCCCAUGGCUGCCCCAUAGCGGCCCCCGGGGGGUCUGUACAGGGGGGCCGGGGGGGGGGAGGGGCAGCGAGUACAAAACUUCAUCCAGCAACCGCAACAGGUAAAAAAAGCCCCCCCCGCCCCUCCCCCCCUCCUGCCCCAUAGCGGAGCCUGAGCCCCACAGCGGCCUCCGGCCCCUCCCCCCCCCCGCUAUGGGGCGGGGGCCCGCGGGGUCCUUCACUGCCCGUCGGCCUUCGGCUUCUUUGGAGCGGAUUUCCUGGGGGGUCAGGGGAAGACAGUGGGCGCUUGCUGGCGGGUUUGGCCCCGGCUCCGUCCUUGCUGGACUCUCCACCGCACCUGCGUGGCGGGCCCGUAGCCCUUGUCGUUGCGGGCGGCGAUGCGGAAGAUGAUGGCGGGUUUGGUGCUGUGGUCGAUGUGCGCCGUGGCCAAGCUGCCGGCGGGGACCAGGCAGGAGGGGCUGGGCCCGCAAUAGACCCGCAUGAAGGCGAGAGGGGCCGGGCCCCCCCCCGCGGCGCCGGAGCCGGAGCCGGAGCCCCCCCGCGGCUCGGCCGC
ensembl:lncRNA